ensembl:lncRNA
CUAUUCAGAAGUAUGUUUAGAUGUGGAUCCUUCUGUAAGCUCUAACUGGACAAAUUUUGGUUUAGAGUAUUUUUGUUCAAGGAUACAGUGCAAACAAACAGUGCAGAGUUUAACUGUAAUUUUUGUGUUUUGGAAGACAGUUCCACAAAUUUGUUUUUGCUACAUAAGAGAUUCACAAAGAAGAAUAGAAUCAUUGUGUUUAGUAAAAUGCAACAGUGUCAAACCCCAUGAUUUACUGUGGAGAAACAGUCAAUGAGAUGCUUCCAAGGGGGGAAAUUUAUAUUCAGUAUUUUUUCUCUUUUUAGGAGAAUUUGCCCAAGCAAUGGGAAUCAGUGCUUCAUUAGUUAUCAUCUGUGCUGUAAUCGGGAUCAGCUUCUUACUGUAUCGAAGGAGGUCCAAAACCACCAUCCCGCUGCAGAGACAAGAAGAACUGAGGCCCAUAAACUGUGCUCCAGCUGUACCUGAAGCAGUUUGAAGCCUAUGACCUUCUGCCUUUACAGAGAGCAGGAACAGAUUCUCCUCAUGGAGUGAAGACCUCCACACAGGACUGUAAAUUAUGUGUGUGUGAAGAAGCCCUUUGACAUUCUGUGGACAUAUGUAGGCAGUUAUUAGGAGUGCAUAAGGAACUUCAGUGCUGAGAGCCCUCUUCUCAUUCACCAAGUGCUCUAACACACUGUUUUUUUUUUACCCUUCGAGGAUAAGACUGGUGAUACUCUGUUUUAGUGUUGUCAAAUCCCUACAAUGAAAUAUUCCAGCCGUCAAGCAUCAUCCCUUUAACCAAAGCCUGAAAUAGUUAAGCUGAGCCAUGGAGCUCUACUGAAAGUGAUUUGAGGUCAGUGCCAUAAACACAUUCUUGCUCUUGAGCCAAAAUCUAUAUCUAAAAAUGCUCUGUUUAAGCAAAGUAUGCUCCAACCUACAGUGCUUAGCAUUUCAGAGGAUUACUUAGCUGCAGAAACAGACUAUAUCCAAAAGAUGGACCACUGUGAAAUGGAAAUAACAACGUAACCAUACCCUGCUUUAUCAUCUGUUUUACUGUAAACAGGACCACAAUUUUCAAAGUGAACAUCACGCUGUAUUGAAGGAGACACAUGACUAAUGACUGAAACCAUAAACUCAGUAGGAAAAUGUUUACUGAAGUAAUGAGUCAGGUCAGAAGUAGCAUCAUUUUCUCAUAGACUUCUAUAAAAUCCAAUGACUUUUUGUAACCACAGGAGUCACCCCCUGCUGGCUGUUAGAAAAAAUGCAGGUUUAAGUCAGUUGCACAUUGGCUUCACUUUUCAGACUUGAAGGCUACAUCCAUCUUGUAUUUACAAUUGUUUGGGGUUAAAAGCAUGUUAAACAAGUUUUUAUGUCUUUAGUAAGAACCUAUGAAUUAAGUGCCACACAGAAAGGAAAAGUAUUUGUAUUUGUACAUCUGCUACUGUAUUUUAUGAUCAGCGUCAGAGAACAUAACGCCGUUCUGAUAGUUUACUGUAUACAUUUACUUUUAAUUAAAUUCAGUGUGGAAUAAUGUGAUAAGAAUGUACCGAUGACAUACUUUUUUGAACAAAUUAACACACAAACACCAUAAAUACCAAAGGAACAUGCUUUGUUGUUACUUUUCAGCUGCCUCUUUUAUGCAAAGGAUACAUUGAGGAUACACCUGAGCAUUCUGAAUCACAGCUCCUCCAUCAAGCCUCCUCUUUCCUUGAGAUGCAGUUUAGGAAUUGAGACAUCCUUCAUGGUGGUCACUAAAAUCAGUUCACAGGCAGGAGGACGGACAACAGAGGCAACAAGGAGGCCCAUGACAGAGAAAUGACAGGAGCUCUGAUAGUUUGUUUUGGCUUUUUCAUGCGAAUGGUAACAAAAAAUGACAAUGAAAAUAUUGUAUCUCUGGAGUGAAUUAUAAAGUUUUGUGUUGUUUUCACUCAAAUGGAAUAUUUGUAAAUGAACAAACUGGAGUGUAAACGGUUGCUGCCAGCAAUCACUGUGAAUGAAAUGACUGAUUUUUUUAUAUGUGCAGGCUUAAAGUGAAUGUGUAGCGAGGAAACAGUGAUCCAAACAUAAUAAAUCACGUUUGGUUGCUCC